AACGAACGCUGGCGGCAUGCCUAACACAUGCAAGUCGAACGAGACCUUCGGGUCUAGUGGCGCACGGGUGCGUAACGCGUGGGAACCUGCCCUUAGGUUCGGAAUAACUCCCCGAAAGGGGUGCUAAUACCGGAUAAUGUCUUCGGACCAAAGAUUUAUCGCCUUUGGAUGGGCCCGCGUUGGAUUAGCUAGUUGGUAGGGUAAAAGCCUACCAAGGCGACGAUCCAUAGCUGGUCUGAGAGGAUGAUCAGCCACACUGGGACUGAGACACGGCCCAGACUCCUACGGGAGGCAGCAGUGGGGAAUAUUGGACAAUGGGCGAAAGCCUGAUCCAGCAAUGCCGCGUGAGUGAUGAAGGCCUUAGGGUUGUAAAGCUCUUUUACCUGGGAUGAUAAUGACAGUACCGGGAGAAUAAGCUCCGGCUAACUCCGU
rnacentral:rRNA from 1 species